rnacentral:rRNA from 1 species
CACCUUCGGGUGUGUAUAGAGUGGCGAACGGGUGAGUAACACGUGACCAACCUGCCUCUUACAUUGGGACAACCAAAAGAAAUUCUGGCUAAUACCAAAUACUCCGCACAUAUCACAUGAUGUAUGCGGGAAAGCUUUUGCGGUAAGAGAUGGGGUCGCGGCCCAUUAGGUAGACGGCGGGGUAGAAGCCCACCGUGCCGAUGAUGGGUAGCCGGGUUGAGAGACCGACCGGCCACAUUGGGACUGAGAUACGGCCCAGACUCCUACGGGAGGCAGCAGUGGGGAAUAUUGCGCAAUGGGGGAAACCCUGACGCAGCAACGCCGCGUGCGGGAUGAAGGCCUUCGGGUUGUAAACCGCUUUCAGCAGGGAAGACAUCGACGGUACCUGCAGAAGAAGCCCCGGCUAACUACGUGCCAGUAGCCGCGGUAAUACGUAGGGGGCGAGCGUUAUCCGGAUUCAUUGGGCGUAAAGCGCGCGCAGGCGGUUGCUCAAGCGGAACCUCUAAUCUCGGGGCUUAACCUCGAGCCGGGUUCCGAACUGGACGACUCGAGUGCGGUAGAGGCAGUUGGAAUUCCCGGUGUAGCGGUGGAAUGCGCAGAUAUCGGGAAGAACACCAACGGCGAAGGCAGUCUGCUGGGCCGUCACUGACGCUGAGGCGCGAAAGCUGGGGGAGCGAACAGGAUUAGAUACCCUGGUAGUCCCAGCCGUAAACGAUGAGCGCUGGGUGUGGGAGAUUACAUCUUCCGUGCCGAAGCUAACGCAUUAAGCGCUCCGCCUGGGGAGUACGGCCGCAAGGCUAANACUCAAAGGAAUUGACGGGGGCCCGCAC